CGCCUGGGGGCAGGGCGGGAGGGGCGGUCCUUGUGGAGCCUAGGAGCAGCUGCCCGGGCCGGGCGCGGUCGGGCAGCGCGGGGAGCGGUGUCCCCUCGCUGACGCCGCGCUGGCUGGGGUCUCGGUCCGGGUGAAGGCCGGGUGCGCGCGUGUGUCCUGAGCCUCCGUGCAGCAGGGCGGGCUGCGCACAGCCGGGGACUCUGAUUGAGCAGAGAAACCUCAAACCCAUCCGACGCAAACCGCGAUCUCCCUCCCGACUGGAGCUCCGGGCUGGGCUGGAAAUGCAUAGGGAGAGACAAGUUGCCAAUUGGUGUUAAAAAGUAGGGCUUGCUUUUCAGAAGUCUUUAUGCACCGUCUGAGAUUGCAGAGAAAUCUGCCUCCCUGGAGGGGCCGCCUCCCGCCCCGGGCAAGUGUGUGUUGUGGACUCGUAAGGUGGCUUCUCCGCGUGUGGGCUGCUGUUUUGUUUAAAAGCAAAAACGUCCAGGAGCCGCUGCCUGGAAUCUGCUGUUGGCCCUUGGAGGGUUUUCAGGGCUCAGCUUCCUGGUAGUAAAGUGUCCAUUUGAAAUCCCUUCCCAGUGUAGCUCCCCCUGAUGCUAAACUGACUCAGUGACUGGGAAACACUGGUCGGGGGGCAGCCCUCCUGCUGGUCCUCAGUCCUCCAGAGGAAGUAAUCCCGGGAGGAAGGAAGCUGAAUGAAUGUGCCUCUCCAAAAAAAAAAAAAAAAAAAAAAAGAACAGAAUUCCUGAUGAAGACCAGGUUUGGUGUAGUCAAAACUGAGUCUCUCUCCCAGCUAUCAUGGAAGUGAAGGAGAAGAGUGGCAAAGGAGACAGGUUGGAUUGGGAAGAUACAUGAGAAUGUACACAGUAGCAGGAGAAAUUUAAUAAGUGCUGGAAUUGUUUGGAUUUAUGAGUCUCAGACUCUUACUUGAUAUCAGCAAUUCUGCGAAGAGUUGAACCAUGAAACAUAAAGAGAAGAAAAAACACCAGCAGAAGAAACCCUUAAAACAACCUGUGAAAAAGUCAAGGGGUACAAGAGGAAAGUUGGAUUUACAAGAUGUUCUGCAGGGUAGAGCCAAGGUACUGGCCCAUACUCAAGGCCACAAAGUGGCGGACAGUUCUUCCUCACCCUCAGAGGACUUCUCUUAUAAAGACAAAUUCUUGGAUGCAGGUCCUGGAUCCUGCAAGAGGCUUUUAAAUCAAGAUUUGAUGGAGAAGGAGAAUUUCUCCUCCAUGGCACAUUCUCAUUUACCUUCCUCCUUGGCCAAUAACCCCCUAGAGUCUGCAACAUCUACUGAAAAGAAAAGAGUCCUGAAUGUCUACUAUCAGCCUGUCCCAAUGAAAAGGGGUACGGCUUCCUUGGGGGAUACAGAAGAUGAUUUGGAGCCCCCCACAAAGAUGACAAGAAUAGCAAGAAUGACCUUUCCUGAGAAGAUCCCUUCAAAAGCCAGCCUCUCUUCUGUGUGCCUAAGAGAUGUCCUAACUGACAGUGAAAAUGGCCUGCCCGGGGAAGGGCAAGAGGAAAGGGAAGAGGCUGAGAAUCUGGCCCGGGAUUCGGUGCUGGAGGACCUGUACAGUGGCUUCAGGUGCAUGGGCUGCGACCAGGUCUUCCCCAAUAUGCGGAUGCUUAAGAAACACCUGGAGGAUGGGGUUGAGGGUGGUGCUUCAUGCCUUAGUCUUGCAUUUGCCAAACUAAGGAACAAAAUGAAGCAAAGCAAGAGAAUCACAGAGGGGGAGGAUGGGAAUAUGACAACAUCUGGAGGUGAUAUGGAGACACUUGUGAUGUUCUUGUUACUUGUGGCUUUUUGUUUUUUCUUUUACUAUUAUAAUAAAUAGAAAUUAAAUCAUAUGUUUCCGGAAGUAAUAAAUUAGAGACAAUAACACAAGAGGACACCAGAAAACUUUUCCAUCCACAAAAUAGCAGAAAAAAUAAGCAUCUUCACAAGCUAAGCCUUUGGUUAGUUUUUUUCUUUCCAUCUCUGUUCUCUCACCCACAUCAGCCUGCUGUUUCCAGAAUGGGUCUCAAGGUUUGUAUUUACCUUUGGUUUAUUAUUUAUUUUCAUUAGUACAUGUUGGUAGUGCAUAAAGUUUACAGACCUGGGGAGCAAUUGGUACAGGUACGUAACACAUCUUACACUUCCUUUUUAUCAUCCCCUUUCCCUCUCCUCCCACCCCACCCUCUCCGUCUUUUGAUCUUUUCCCUGUUUAGAAAGAUUUAUCCCUCUUCUUCCUAUCAUCUAUCUUUAUUUUGCUCUUUAUUUAUACUUUGGGUUUCUCAUACAAAAAAAAAAUCCAUGUGAUAUGUAAGCUUAUGUGUCUGAUUUAUCUCACUGAACAUUAUGGUCUCAAGAUGCUUUAAUUUUUUUUUUACAAAUGACUCAAGUUUAUCAUUCCUUAUGGUAGAGUAGUACUCAAUUGUGUUUAAAAACCACAUUUAAUUUAUCUAUUCUUCUGUUGAUGGACAUAUGGGCUACUUCCAAUGUUUAGCUAUUAUGAAUUGUGUUGCUGUAUACAUGGGUCUGCAUGGGUCACUGUAAUGUCUUUGACUCUUUGCGAAGACAUCUAGAAGG
rnacentral:lncRNA from 1 species